GGAGGUGUGCCUGAAAUCAAAGGACUACUUUGAUAGAGUAGAACAUGUGGGUUAAAAUCCCUCCACCUCCU
rnacentral:tRNA from 1 species